UACGUAGGGUGCGAGCGUUGUCCGGAAUUAUUGGGCGUAAAGGGCUCGUAGGCGGUUUGUCACGUCUGCUGUGAAAUCCCGAGGCUCAACCUCGGGCCUGCAGUGGGUACGGGCAGACUGGAGUGCGGUAGGGGAGAAUGGAAUUCCUGGUGUAGCGGUGGAAUGCGCAGAUAUCAGGAGGAACACCGGUGGCGAAGGCGGAUCUCUGGGCCUGUUCUGACGCUGAGGCGCGAAAGCUAGGGGAGCGAACAGG
rnacentral:rRNA from 1 species